rnacentral:rRNA from 1 species
UACGGAGGGUGCGAGCGUUGUCCGGAAUCACUGGGCGUAAAGCGCACGUAGGCGGGUCUUUAAGUCGGAGGUGAAAUCCUGGAGCUCAACUCCAGAACUGCCUUCGAUACUGAGGAUCUCGAGUCCGGGAGAGGUGAGUGGAACUGCGAGUGUAGAGGUGAAAUUCGUAGAUAUUCGCAAGAACACCAGUGGCGAAGGCGGCUCACUGGCCCGGUACUGACGCUGAGGUGCGAAAGCGUGGGGAGCGAACAGG